AGAACGAACGCUGGCGGCAGGCUUAACACAUGCAAGUCGAGCGCCCAGCAAUGGGAGCGGCGGACGGGUGAGUAACACGUGGGAACAUGCCUUUCGGUACGGAACAACUGCGGGAAACUGCAGCUAAUGCCGUAUACGCCCUUACGGGGAAAGAUUUAUCGCCGAAAGAUUGGCCCGCGUCUGAUUAGCUAGUUGGUGAGGUAACGGCUCACCAAGGCUUCGAUCAGUAGCUGGUUUGAGAGAACGACCAGCCACACUGGGACUGAGACACGGCCCAGACUCCUACGGGAGGCAGCAGUGGGGAAUCUUGGACAAUGGGGGAAACCCUGAUCCAGCCAUGCCGCGUGAGUGAUGAAGGCCUUCGGGUUGUAAACUCUUUUACCAGGAAGAUAAUGACUGUACCUGGAGAAUAAGCCCCGGCUAACUUCGUGCCAGCAGCCGC
rnacentral:rRNA from 1 species